UACAGAGGUCCCAAGCGUUGUUCGGAUUCACUGGGCGUAAAGGGCGCGUAGGCGGCCUUCUAAGUCGAACGUGAAAUCCCCGGGCUCAACCCGGGAACUGCGUCCGAUACUGGGAGGCUUGAAUCCGGGAGAGGGAUGUGGAAUUCCAGGUGUAGCGGUGAAAUGCGCAGAUAUCAGGAGGAACACCGGUGGCGAAGGCAGCCCCCUGGGUCAACACUGACGCCUCAUGCACGAAAGCGUGGGGAGCAAACAGG
rnacentral:rRNA from 1 species